rnacentral:rRNA from 1 species
UGGGGAAUAUUGCACAAUGGGCGAAAGCCUGAUGCAGCAACGCCGCGUGAAGGAAGAAGGUCUUCGGAUCGUAAACUUCUGUCCUAUGGGAAGAUAGUGACGGUACCAUAGGAGGAAGCCCCGGCUAACUACGUGCCAGCAGCCGCGGUAAUACGUAGGGGGCAAGCGUUAUCCGGAAUUAUUGGGCGUAAAGAGUGCGUAGGUGGUAACUUAAGCGCGGGGUUUAAGGCAAUGGCUUAACCAUUGUUCGCCCUGCGAACUGGGUUACUUGAGUGCAGGAGAGGAAAGCGGAAUUCCUAGUGUAGCGGUGAAAUGCGUAGAUAUUAGGAGGAACACCAGUGGCGAAGGCGGCUUUCUGGACUGAAACUGACACUGAGGCACGAAAGUGUGGGGAGCAAACAGGAUUAGAUACCCUGGUAGUCCACACCGUAAACGAUGAGCACUAGGUGUCGGGGUCGCAAGACUUCGGUGCCGCAGUUAACACAUUAAGUGCUCCGCCUGGGGAGUACGUACGCAAGUAUGAAACUCAAAGGAAUUGACGGGGACCCGCACAAGCAGCGGAGCAUGUGGUUUAAUUCGAAGCAACGCGAAGAACCUUACCAGGGCUUGACAUCCCUCUGAAACUCCUGAUAACGAAGGAGCCCUCUUCGGAGCAGAGGAGACAGGUGGUGCAUGGUUGUCGUCAGCUCGUGUCGUGAGAUGUUGGGUUAAGUCCCGCAACGAGCGCAACCCUUGUCAUUAGUUGCCAGCAGUAAGAUGGGCACUCUAGUGAGACUGCCGGGGACAACUCGGAGGAAGGUGGGGAUGACGUCAAAUCAUCAUGCCCCUUAUGUUCUGGGCUACACACGUGCUACAAUGGCCGGUACAAAGAGAAGCGAGACUGUGAGGUGGAGCAAAUCUCAAAAGCCGGUCCCAGUUCGGAUUGUAGGCUGCAACUCGCCUACAUGAAGUCGGAGUUGCUAGUAAUCGCGGAUCAGAAUGCCGCGGUGAAUGCGUUCCC